rnacentral:rRNA from 1 species
UUAACGGGAAAGAACCUUACCUACUUUUGACAUCCAGAGAACUUAGCAGGGAUGCUUUGGUGCCUUCGGGAACUAUGAGACAGGUGGGGCAUGGCUGUUGUCAGCUCGUGUUGUGAAAUGUUGGGUUAAGUCCCGCAACGAGCGCAACCCUUAUCCUUUGUUGCCAGCGGUUCGGCCGGGAACUCAAAGGAGACUGCCAGUGAUAAACUGGAGGAAGGUGGGGAUGACGUCAAGUCAUCAUGGCCCUUACGAGUAGGGCUACACACGUGCUACAAUGGCAUAUACAAAGAGAAGCGACCUCGCGAGAGCAAGCGGACCUCAUAAAGUAGUCGUAGUCCGGAUCGGAGUCUGCAACUCGCACUCCAUGAAACUCGGAAUCGGUUUAGU